GUACACAUAAUUUAUCCGGUAAAAUAGUUGAUUUCCAAUCAGUUUUGGUGGGUUCAAGUCCCACUGUGUGCA
rnacentral:tRNA from 1 species